AAGUUGAAAUCAAGUAUACGGUGGGGGUUGACAUCAUUAAAAGAUAAUAUUUAAAACUACAAACAGUGAAUAAGAAGGCAUCUUACAACAUUAGCGAGCAAUAUUGAGGCAAAGAUCAAUAUACCAAAAAAAGUCACUCUGAGAAAUAGAAAAACAAGUAGUACUAAAACUCCACUCAGCAGUAAUGCAUAACAAUCUAUCUAAAAAUCACAGACAGUUGGUUACUGAGGGAAGGCUUGUCUCAAGGGGAAGGUCUUUGCCUGUUUGCAUAAGGAUAGCAAAGAUGGAGCCAGCUUAGCCUCUUGUGAGAGGGAGUUCCAAAGUCUGGGAGCAGCAACAAGAGAAUGCUCUCUCCUGUGACCCCAUCAGAUGCACCUGUGAGGAUGGUGGGACUGAAACAAAGACCUCUCCUGAUGAUCUUAACACCCAAGCCAGCUCCGUAAUGGGCUAUACAGUCUUUGAGAUGGCUUGGACCCAGGGCAUUUAGAGUUUUAUGUAUAGGUUAAGACCAGCACUUUGAAUUGUGCCUGGUAACAGAUCAUCAGCCAGUGGAGCUGCUGUAACACGAGGGCUAUGUGAUCCCUGUUACCAGCCCCAGUCAGCAAUCUGGGUGCUGCAUUUUGGACCCGUUGAAGUUUCCUGACACUUUCCAUUGGCAGCUCCACGUAAGAGUACAUGAUCACCCACGUUUGAUAAAUGCCACCAUCUCAAACUGAGUCUCCAUUGGCAAAUUUCAAGGCAAAAGUGAUGGGGGAAUGGAUGGAAUGAUUUAUUUGUUUAUUUAUCGUCUUAGAUCAUCCCAUUCUAUGGUGGUUAUGCUCAUUGCCCUUGCCCCACCAACCCAUGGGUUACCAUAGGAACAGUCAUAAACAUUACGGCAUCAUCACCAUUCCGUUGGCUGUUCCUUAACAGACACUUGAUCAGUUAGGAGUAGUAGAGGUCCUCUUCCCAGUGACUAGAAAAUAUACUUCCUCAGCCAACUUAGUCACCAUGGCAGCUGUCUUAUUGACUUGCGAGGUGCUUCAAGGCUGCUCAGUCACAGAAGUAUUUGAGACUCUGGAGCUGCUGAUAAAGUUCAGAAGAAAGGAUAUUAUUAGAAGAAAACUCCAGUCAUUCAGCUGUAAAAUGAAGUGAAAUGAAAUGAAAUGAAGAGAAGCAGUGAACAACAAUGGGUGCUUCCAAAUCCCCUUCCUUUCAUCUAAUGCCACACGAUUCUGUUGUGGUUCCUUGUGCCAAAUGUGGAUAAUCUAGAAGCAAGUAGGACAGUAACUAGUGGGCCCCUCCAAACUCUGCACUGCGAUGAUGAUGAUGAUGACCAGCUUGAAGGAAUUUCAAAUUAUAAACUAAGCAAAGUUCAGUCUUGUAGUCAGCAUAAUGUCCUGUGUAUUUUUUUAUAUAUUGUGUAAUCUGGUGCUGGUUUUGCUUAUCCUAAGCUGACUGGAUGGCUCAAUGAGUUGGAACACUUGGAGCUAGUGGCUCAGGAAUUAGAUCCCCCCCUCCCAUGCCUUCCAGGAGAAAAGCCAGCCUGUGUAGUUUAGGGCAAGCUACAUAGUUCUUACUCCAAGUUUUACCUCAAACCAUCACCAUUCUUACUCUCCUCCUGGUUUCUGAUAAUCUCUCAGACAUUGCUUAUAUCUUUAUAAUUUAUCUGUAUAACAGUGUUAAACUGUCUUUUAAUUUACAUGAAAAGGAAUUAUAUGCUUGGGAGGUUGGGUUCUGCUUCCCAGUGAUUCUUUCCUUAUAGUUGUAUAGACCUCUGUCCCCCAAGCUUCCUUUCCAUUGAAAGUGGCCCAAGAUAAAGGGGAAAAAAUGUUAUUACACAUAACAAGUAAAAUUAAUUUGAAUAUGUCAUAAACUUUAAAAAGUCACUACUAAAAAUUUCAUGGUCUAAAUCUAACUGAUAGCCCCAACUGGUACAUUCUGAUCAACUGAGUCAGCUGUUGAAUGGGGAAUCUAUCACAUGCUUCAUGGCUUAAUCAAGAAGCCAUGUUUAACAUGAACAAUAGCUUACUGUGACAUAUACAUGCAUAAACUUUAUUGUUUCUGACCAUAGGCCUUUACAAUGUACAUAUAGUAUAUAAAAUCCAAUUAAAACAGGCAAUUGCCAUAAAACCAAUAAAACUCGGUC
ensembl:lncRNA